rnacentral:rRNA from 1 species
AGAGUUUGAUCCUGGCUCAGGAUGAACGCUAGCGACAGGCCUAACACAUGCAAAUCGAGGGGUAACAUGAGUGCUUGCACUUGAUGACGACCGGCGCACGGGUGCGUAACGCGUAUGCAACUUACCUUGUACUGGGGAAUAGCCCGUGGAAACGCGGAUUAAUGUCCCAUAACACUACAAUUUCGCAUGGAAAAGUGGUUAAAGUUCCGACGGUACAAGAUGGGCAUGCGUGACAUUAGCUAGUUGGUGAGGUAAGGGCUCACCAAGGCGACGAUGUCUAGGGGUUCUGAGAGGAAGGUCCCCCACACUGGUACUGAGACACGGACCAGACUCCUACGGGAGGCAGCAGUGAGGAAUAUUGGUCAAUGGGCGCAAGCCUGAACCAGCCAUGUCGCGUGCAGGAAGACUGCCCUACGGGUUGUAAACUGCUUUUGUAUGGGAAGAAACGUUGGUACGUGAACCAAUUUGCCGGUACCAUACGAAUAAGGAUCGGCUAACUCCGUGCCAGCAGCCGCGGUAAUACGGAGGAUCCAAGCGUUAUCCGGAUUUAUUGGGUUUAAAGGGUGCGUAGGCGGUAGAAUAAGUCAGUGGUGAAAUCCUGCAGCUUAACUGUAGAACUGCCAUUGAUACUGUUUUACUUGAGUGUAAUUGAGGUAGGCGGAAUGUGUUGUGUAGCGGUGAAAUGCAUAGGUAUAACACAGAACACCGAUUGCGAAGGCAGCUUACUAAGUUAUAACUGACGCUGAUGCACGAAAGCGUGGGUAGCGAACAGGAUUAGAUACCCUGGUAGUCCACGCCGUAAACGAUGAUUACUCGCUGUAGGCAAUACACCGUCUGUGGCUGAGCGAAAGCAUUAAGUAAUCCACCUGGGGAGUACGUUAGCAACAAUGAAACUCAAGGAAUUGACGGGGGCCCGCACAAGCGGAGGAACAUGUGGUUUAAUUCGAUGAUACGCGAGGAACCUUACCUGGACUUAAAUGUAGAUUGACGUAUCCAGAGAUGGAUAUUUCUUCGGACAAUUUACAAGGUGCUGCAUGGUUGUCGUCAGCUCGUGCCGUGAGGUGUCGGGUUAAGUCCCAUAACGAGCGCAACCCCUGUUGUUAGUUACCAGCACAUCAUGGUGGGGACUCUAACAAGACUGCCGGUGUAAACCGCGAGGAAGGUGGGGAUGACGUCAAAUCAGCACGGCCCUUACGUCCAGGGCUACACACGUGUUACAAUGGCCGGUACAGAGGGCAGCUACUUGGUGACAAGAUGCGAAUCUCAAAAACCGGUCUCAGUUCGGAUCGAAGUCUGCAACCCGACUUCGUGAAGCUGGAUUCGCUAGUAAUCGCAUAUCAGCCAUGAUGCGGUGAACACGUUCCCGGGCCUUGUACACACCGCCCGUCAAACCAUGGAAGUCGAGGGUACCUGAAGUCUGUUACCG